GACGAACGCUGGCGGCGUGCUUAACACAUGCAAGUCGAGCGAUGAAGCUUCUUUGGAAGUGGAUUAGCGGCGGACGGGUGAGUAACACGUGGGUAACCUGCCUCAUAGAGGGGAAUAGCCUUCCGAAAGGAAGAUUAAUACCGCAUAAGAUUGUAAUAUCGCAUGAUAUAGCAAUUAAAGGAGCAAUCCGCUAUGAGAUGGACCCGGGUCGCAUUAGCUAGUUGGUGAGGUAACGGAUCACCAAGGCGACAAUGCGUAGCCGACCUGAGAGGGUGAUCGGCAACAUGGGGACUGAGACACGGCCAGACUCCUACGGGAGGCAGCAGUGGGGAAUAUUGCACAAUGGGGGAAACCCUGAUGCAGCAACGCCGCGUGAGUGAUGACGGUCUUCGGAUUGUAAAGCUCUGUCUUUAGGGACGAUAAUGACGGUACCUAAGGAGGAAGCCACGGCUAACUACGUGCCAGCAGCCGCCGUAA
rnacentral:rRNA from 1 species